AUUGAACGCUGGCGGCAGGCCUAACACAUGCAAGUCGAGCGGAUGAAGGGAGCUUGCUCCUGGAUUCAGCGACGGACGGGUGAGUAAUGCAUAGGAAUCUGCCUGGUAGUGGGGGAUAACGUCCGGAAACGGGCGCUAAUACCGCAUACGUCAUGAGGGAGAAAGUGGGGGAUCUUCGGACCUCACGCUAUCAGAUGAGCCUAGGUCGUAUUAGCUAGUUGGUGUGGUAAAGGCCUACCAAGGCGACGAUCCGUAACUGGUCUGAGAGGAUGAUCAGUCACACUGGAACUGAGACACGGUCCAGACUCCUACGGGAGGCAGCAGUGGGGAAUAUUGGACAAUGGGCGAAAGCCUGAUCCAGCCAUGCCGCGUGUGUGAAGAAGGUCUUCGGAUUGUAAAGCACUUUAAGUUGGGAGGAAGGACAGUAAGUUAAUACCUUGCUGUUUUGACGUUACCAACAGAAUAAGCACCGGCUAACUUCGUG
rnacentral:rRNA from 1 species